CCAAGCCUCUUGCAGGGCUUGCCCUCUGCCGAGAACAGCUAACCGUGGGGAUGCAUGCCCAGAACACAGAGGAGAGGAAAGGCGUCGGGACACACUUAAGUCAAACAAGUGCAUGUUGUUUAUCUGAAAUUCAAAUUUAACUGGGCUUUUUGUAUUUUUAUUGGCUAAAUCUGGCCACCCCUGACAGGCAGCUCUGACCUGACUUCAGUGGCUAUUUCAAACUCCUGCCCCCAUCACACCUAUCCCAGGAAGGUCACCAGCUUGGGAGGGCUGGAGCUUGACCAUCCUGCCAAACGUCUGGGUGAUUUUAUCCUUGGCGAGAAAGGGAAAAAAAGGGGAAAAUUGGUCUCUUGGUUAACUUGAUGCUAGAUCAGGCAUUCACCGAGGGCCGAGUGUAUCUAUCCUAGGGUCUGUAGUAGCCGUUCACCUGCGUCAUUUCAUUUAAGGCUGAUGACCAUCUAAGGAGCAGGAUUUGCAUUUCUGUUUCUCUCCAGGCAGAUUCCCUCUGCACCAUUGCGGAUGCUGAGCCUGCCUGAGAUCCAGCCCAGGGCCCUGGCCACAGGCUGCUGGGCUGAACUUGUCCACAGCUGACAUCGACUUCGCCGGGGCAUUUUACUUCUGAUCUUCUCUCUCAAUACCCUUGCAAUGUCCCUGUCUCCAAAAUGAGUGCCCGAUGGGCCUGCUACUCCAGGUGAGUCAGAAUCCGAAGGCAAACACGGUAGGUGAUAAGGGAGAAAACCUUAGUCCAAGAGGCUCAGGUGCAAAAAGUGUGGGUUGGUGACACCCAGCCCUGAGUCAGAAUCCCAGCUCUUGCAUUGCCUGCAUGACUGCACAAGUUACAUGAGAUUGUUUGAGCUUCAGUUUCAUUUGCUAAAUAAUUGGGAUAAUAAUACACACAGCACUGGGUAGUUAGGAUUUAAUCAGAGAAGGCAUGAGAAGUAAGCACCCAUCAACUGAGCUAUUAUCUCCCUGAAAUGAUGGCUGGAGAAGAAUAAAAGGGAUCUAAAGUAAAGACGUGUAGUAGAUGCUUCAUAAACGCUGCUGAAGAAACGAAAUGCAUGUACAAACCGGUGAGCAGCAGAGCCCGUCGGGGCUGAUACAAAGCGAGACCACAGAGAGGGCUGCUGUCUACGAUCCAGCCGCCUGCUUCCUGUUGGGGCCGCCAGCCUGGCCACCCAUCGACAGCAGGAUAUCUUACACUGAAAUGGGCUCGUGGGGGUGUGUGACAUCACAGAAACGGAGUGGUCUUUGGAAAGAGGCUGGCCUGGGUUUGAAUCCUGCUAGACCACAUACCAACGGUGUCUCCUUGGACACUUCCAUUCCUCGUUUUGAACGUCAACAUCCCAUCUAUUAAAUGGAGACAGGGGGCUUCCUUCCAGUUCUCCUUGUUACGGCUUCACCGUUGGCUGGCGUGGUCAGUACGGCAGGCAGAAUUACCCCAACUCACAGAUACCCUGCACAUUUUGCAAGUUCUCUUUGUGAUGACCUGCAUUGGUACCUGUUUUCGCUAACUGGAAGAAAUGUGAAGAGGGUUUUCGCAGUUAGGGAGAAAGACCUUCAUCAAGUCUGCUGCAGUGGAUCAGCUUCACUCCCCAGGAGUACUAAAGAGCCUUCGUGAGGGUCCUCCCGCGAGUCCUCAGUCUCAGUUCUCACAGGUUCCAAAGAAAUUAUCAAAGGGAUUAAGUCAAGGUGUGAUACUGUCCUCUGUGCAUUCUGAAAGAUCAUUCUGGCUAAAGAUCCCAGCACAACACAGAAGACUGAAAUCUGAGAGGCUUAGCAGAAGGAGUUAAGGAGCCCAUCAAGAGGAGGAUGGACAGACCAAAGAAAAUAGCCCGAGGGAACAGACACCUGAGAUACAGAGUUUCCAUAAGGAGGAGAAAACACUGUCAUAAUCAAAGAAGGAAACGAUAGCUGUGAUUUCUAAAGACGCUGAAGAAGUCAAACGUUAGAUUCCUGCUCCUUUUGCUUCGGCUCCAUUUCUCUUCAGAAUACAGCCGGAUCUGCCCCCGGAAGGUGAGGGUCAGGAGUGUUCAAGGCUGGGGCAGGAGGCGACUUUCCUCAUCGGACCCUGAGACAAGGAGAUGCCCUCUGGCCCCAGAGGCCCCCCAAGAAAGACAGUCGCUGAUGUUCAGAGCAGUAGCUAAUUUCCAACGUUAUUGACUUUUCAUUCAUGUAAUGAAGCACAUGCCUUUGGAGUUAAGAAGGGGAGGAAGCUGCACGUGGGUCUACAAUUGCCUCGAAUUUUCAAGAAAUCAAAUACAUAUGGAUAAUUACAAUGCGCAGUCCCAAAGGCCGCGCUGGCACUGGAGCAUAGAGUGGAAACAUACCGUCUCACUGUGAUUAGGAGAAGCAACCAGAGAAGGUCUCCCAAGGCAGGGGACCUCAUCACAGGUCAUUCACUUGUCAAAGAAACUGAAGCCUUUGUCUUAGAGAACUGCCCAUAUUCUGGAUUUGAAUGGUUCCUUCUUCGUGGGGUCUGGAUCAUUUCUCUAUCCACUGUUAUCUCCUGAUAGUGGUCAUUUAUCAUCACCAUCAUCAUCAUCGCCACAUUGUACCACAUCAUCCCAGCAUUGUUGGAAGGGUGAGAAUGUAGGCAAGCGAGUGCUGCUUCUAGAAGUCUAAUUCCCCUGUCGUGUAACUUUAAACCAAGCCUUUCUUCCCUGCGACGUAGAACACGGACCACGAUCUCAUGUUGGUGCUCAAGUCUGGGCAGUGAUUCCCGCACAGAGACAAUGCACGGACCUGUGCGAUGGCCAAGAAAGGCCGGCCCCGCAGCUGCAUUCAGAGCAGGGAGUUUCUGGAAACAGACCUUUCUGACGAUAAUAAGAUGGUUGGAGCAUGAACUUUGCCGCCAUGCUGGAUUCAUACCUUGUACCCCUCACCAGCUGAGAGACCUUGGAAAGUCUCCCUCACAUUUCCGUACCUUAGCUUCCUUCUCAGCUACAUGGAAAUAGCAGCACGUAUCUCUGACGGCCGUUGUGAAGAGCGAGUGAGCUAAAGCCAAGGGCAGGGCCCGGGUGAGUAGCAUGUUCGUUCUGGCUGUCGGUCAUGUUGUUGUUUGGUGAGGGGCCCCAUGCUGCGGAGGACAGCUCCUCCGUCACACUCCGUGAUUUCCCGUGUCCCUGCCCGUCCAACCCCUGUGGCAAAGGGAUGAAGUAUGCUCACUGACUCAGACUCAGACUCACUUCCCGCGUCCCUGCCCACCCCAUUUCUGAGUCUAAUCUGAGUCAGUCAGCAUAUUUCAUCCGUUUGCCGCAGGGGUUGGAUCGGGGUGGGCGGAUAGCCAGUCACAUGAGCCAGACCACUUCGACCCCAGCCAUGACUUCCAUGUGCCCGACUGGGGACUCAGCCCGACUCCCAUUGGACCUGCUGGAGCUGGCGCUGCUCCCACAGGGAGCCCUGGCCUGGAGUCCAGGCACAAGAGGGGUGAGGAAGCCGGUGCCAAGGACAUCGUGUGGCUCCUGCCUGCAACCAGCUCUGUUCCUGCACCUUUGGGGCACGUGGGCCCAGAAGGUCCCUUUCUCCUUAAUUCAGUUUAGGUCACAGUGUUUUCACCUGCAACACCAAGAGGGCCAAUAGUUGGCGCCCCAGCAUGUGCUGAAGACCAGGACUGGAGGAGCACGUAAAGGACUCAGAGCUCACACGGCGAGGAAGUAGCAAAAGCCCGCCUUGAACCCGGUUCUGCCCAACCACUGCACCAUGAGCUCCCAGAGCUCCAGAAGGCCCCGGAAGGGAAGUCAAGAUGCACCUGUGGGGAUCCACAAAGAAAAGGCGGAAGUCGGAGACGGCUUCUGGAAGCAGCGGCAAUUGCAUUAACGACCAACCUUUACUAAAUGCUUAUCAGAAGCCAGUCCCCGCGGUCAGAGCUCCAUGGAGCCUUGCGCCAGAGCUGCGCCUGGGGGAUGAGCACGAUUUGGGCAUGUGGAAAUGGGGGCAGGCGGGCUUUCGUAUUUGAAGAUGACGAAAGAGUGUCCGUGUCCCUCGAAGCCCUGGGGAGGCAGCUGUGACUCCAGGCUGGAAUGGGGCCUACUUCGGUGGCGGCGGCAGCCAGCGCUGGAAUACGGGUGGCACACCUUGGUACACCGGCGUAUUUAAUCACUUCCCUCCGUUCAUCCCGAAUUCCAUCCCAGCAAGACUUGCUGAUUUCCACCUCAGUUCCAGGGCCCGCACAUCUCCACCAUGUUUCCACCCACUUCCUGCUCGGGAAGACGCAGGCCGAUUAGGGAACAAGAUAAGCGUCCUGGUAACGGAGGGAUGCGCCACUGGACGAGUGAGAGGUGAGUGUGGGGACUGCCCUGCUGCAACACGGCAGCCACCUGGGACACUUGGCAGGACGUUUCGUGUGCCUUAGCACUUCAGAAAGCAAGGCUAGGAACCGGAAUGUUCGUGUAGUCACUGUCAUUGAAUAAAUAUGUGUUGAGCACCUACUGUGUGCGGAGCACUGCAGUAGGCGAAGAAGCUGGAGAGAUGAGAGCUGUCGUCCUGGCUUCAGGACACUCACAGGGCAGGUGGGGAAUUCACGUGGCACCAUGAGGGCUCAGAGGCAGUGAGCACAGGGACCGGACACCUAGCCCACCUUGGGGCUAGUGGACUGGCACAAGGACUCAGGUAAGGCUUUUAAGAGGAAACCCAAGACCUGAAGAAGGAUCAGAAUUAGCCAGGAGAUAGGACAGAGGGAAGAUGGCGGGGGGGCAGGGCAUGGAGUUCCAGGUGGGCGAAAUUAUACAAAGUCUCAGGAGAAAGGGAAAGAAAGAGGAACUCUGCCUGGUUUGGGGGUGACUACAGCUUGAAGGCAGGAGCAGAAAAGACAGAAGGGAAAACGUUUCCUGAGACCCUGGAAUGCACGAGGCGUCAUAGAUGGAAACGGUGUGCGUGGGACGUCAGCACGGCCUUUGGCACAUACUAGGAGAUCAGUUCUUUUGAGCACUCACCAGGGGACUGGCUGACAUAUGCCAGGCAAUGGGUACCCAUGCUCAUCGUGGUGACAAAAACUCUCUCCACCUUUGACCCGGGGGAGACUGAGGCCCAGAGCCUGGGUCAAACAACUUGCCCAGGUCUCACACCUGGGAUGAAGCCGGAUUCAGACCCCAUGCGGCCUGCUGCCAAAGGGCAGCAUCUCCUGGCUCAGCAACCCUCAGAAAUCCAUGCUUUACCUUCUCACUGCUCGGCCACUAAAGGCUCUGAACAUCGUUGACCUAAAAGCCCAGCAUCGUCUGGCCUGGAGAUGCAGGAGGCUUUGGCCCUCCCAUUCUGCCCCACCUCACUGGCUCUGUCAUUUUGACCUCAACGAUAUCGUGACCUUGUCUGUCAUUGAGACCCACCAGUACUGUACAGCAUCACAGCAUGUCAGCUCUGUCUGUGCAUAUGGGUAUCUGGGCCAUGCUUACCUAGCCCGUAUUCAGCCUCAAAGGGCCGAGAACAUUCCCUCCGUGCAAUUCAGAUUUGUUUUUUAACGUCUUCGUGCAGUCCAGCCCAUUUUCAGCUUGAAAAAUGAGCUGGAGAAGACAGGGAAGCUUUGCUGAGGUCAGAGGGUGAAUCAGCAGCCUGUCUCCAUGCCGACCCACCUUUCCCAACCGGCCAGCGCCCACAUCACUCAGCCCCGAUUAGCAGCUCCUCACAGAGCCUGGAGGCCACAGUCGGUGACGCUCGCCUGGAGAGUCCCCAUCACUCCCCCGGAGCCCCGGUGACGAUCCCCGGCUGAGUCUCCUGCAGCAGCCGGCACCACGUUCUCACGCAGGACAGAGACCCCAGAGAGCAGGUCAUAAAUACCCACCGGCUCCUUCCUGCUUUCAUGCCCAGCUUCCUCUGCAAGGCGGUGAGAUGGGAACCAAGAAGGGCAGAUUCUGCGAAAGCCCGCACAUUGAGAUCCUUUCAAGAGAGACCGGGGGGAACCAGUUGCAGCUCAAAGGUGGACACUGGCAACUCUGAACUCUUCUGUUCAAGAAAACGCCUUGCCAUUGUAAAGCAAUUAUACUCCAA